CUACGGGCGGCUGCAGUUAGGAAUAUUCUACAAUGCGCGAAAGCGUGAUAGAUUGAGUCAGAGUGCGUUUCAAAUUGGAAUGCUUUUGCCAAAUGUAAAAAGUUUGGCGAAUAAGGACUGGGUAAGACGAGUGCCAGCCGCCGCGGUAAUACUCGCGGUCCAAGUCGCAGCCAUUUUUAUUGGGUCUAAAACAUCCGUAGCUUGCUUCUUAAGUUCCUUGUGAAAUUUUAUAUCUUAAAUAUAGAGCGUGCAGGGAGUACUGGGAAGCUAGAGACUGGGAGACGUAAGAAGUACAUUCAAAGUAGCGGUUAAAUGUGUUAAUCUUGGAUGGACUCACAAUAGCGAAGGCAUCUUACGAGAACAGUUCUGACAGUAAGGGAUGAAGGCUAGGGGCGCAAAACGGAUUAGAUACCCGAGUAGUC
rnacentral:rRNA from 1 species